UACGGGGGGGCAAGCGUUGUUCGGAAUUACUGGGCGUAAAGGGCUCGUAGGCGGCCAACUAAGUCAGACGUGAAAUCCCUCGGCUUAACCGGGGAACUGCGUCUGAUACUGGAUGGCUAGAGGUUGGGAGAGGGAUGCGGAAUUCCAGGUGUAGCGGUGGAAAUGACGUAGAUAUCGGGAGGAACACCAGUAGCGAAGGCGGCUCGCUGGGCCAUUCCUGACGCUGAGACGCGAAAGCUAGGGGAGCCGAACGAGGA
rnacentral:rRNA from 1 species